CGGAGGGAUCAUUAAAGAGUUCUAUAACUCCCAAACCCAUGUGAACAUACCUAACGUUGCCUCGGCAGGUCGCACCUACCUUGUAGCACCCUACCCUGUAGGGCCUACCCGGGAGGUGCGGGUAAGCCUGCCGGCGGCCCACCAAACUCUGUUUGAUAUUGAAUUCUGAACCUAUAACUAAAUAAGUUAAAACUUUCAACAACGGAUCUCUUGGUUCUGGCAUCGAUGAAGAACGCAGCGAAAUGCGAUAAGUAAUGUGAAUUGCAGAAUUCAGUGAAUCAUCGAAUCUUUGAACGCAUAUUGCGCCCAUUAGUAUUCUAGUGGGCAGGACCGUUCGAGCGUCAUUUCAACCCUUAAGCCUUCGUUGCUUAGUGUUGGGAGCCUACGGCAACGUAGCUCCUCAAAGUUAGUGGCGGAGUUGGUUCACACUCUAGACGUAGUAAUUUUUUAUCUCGCCUAUUAGUUGGACUAAUCCCCUGCCGUAAAACCCCCAAUUUAUCAAGGUUGACCUCGAAUCGGUUCAGACAAACUCGCUAAAUUGAAGCAUCUUAGUCAGCG
rnacentral:rRNA from 1 species